UUCAUCCGAUCCAGGAUAUAUAUGUCUCUCUACCUACAACGUUUCCUCGUCCCCUCCCUCCUCCUUCUCCAGCCCCAACAUCCCUUCCAGAGACCCUGCUACAGACCUCAGGAUCGUCAAGAGGUCGGAGUCUGCCUCUGGGACCCGAGGGACCAAAGCCAAGAAUAUCGGUCAUUCACUCAACAUCAAGAAGUUAAGCAGGGGUCCUUGCGACCACACUUACUUGAGAGUCAGAAGGAGGAAAAGAUGGAGAGGAACUCCAGGAUCCUCAGGCCAUUUCAGCGGGAGCAGCAGGGGGAGCUUCCCUGAUGCCAACCAGCUCAUAAUUCCCUCCCUGGUAGCAUCACUUCAAGGCCUUCCUGCUUAUUUCCCUUGGCUCCUCGGAUUUGUGGAUUGACGCCUAAGAGAUUUACUGGUAAAUGCCUCCUUUGUGCUGUGCAGACACGAGUUUCUGACAUGUCACAGGAAACGCUGAAGAAGUCACUCUUCGGGGUGUGUUUUCCUCCAGGAGGCGGUGUGAGAUGGA